UACGGAGGAUGCAAGCGUUAUCCGGAAUGAUUGGGCGUAAAGCGUCCGCAGGUGGCUAUGUAAGUCUGCUGUUAAAGAGUGAGGCUCAACCUCAUAAGAGCAGUGGAAACUACAUGGCUAGAGUGCGUUCGGGGCAGAGGAAUUCCUGGUGUAGCGGUGAAAUGCGUAGAGAUCAGGAAGAACACCGGUGGCGAAAGCGCUCUGCUAGGCCGCAACUGACACUGAGGGACGAAAGCUAGGGGAGCGAAUGGG
rnacentral:rRNA from 1 species